UACGUAGGGGGCAAGCGUUGUCCGGAUUUAUUGGGCGUAAAGAGCGUGUAGGCGGCUUUACAGGUCCGUUGUGAAAACUCGAGGCUCAACCUCGAGACGCCGGUGGAAACCGUAAAGCUAGAGUCCGGAAGAGGAGAGUGGAAUUCCUGGUGUAGCGGUGAAAUGCGUAGAUAUCAGGAGGAACACCUGUGGCGAAAGCGGCUCACUGGACCAUAACUGACGCUGAGACGCGAAAGCGUGGGGAGCAAAACGG
rnacentral:rRNA from 1 species